GGCCCUCGCGGGGGUGCAUUGUAGUUGCAUUGCAUGUGUCAGACUGGGAGUGCAAUGCCCCUGCCAUGCAGCCCGGCGGGGGUCCC
rnacentral:miRNA from 1 species